rnacentral:misc_RNA from 1 species
GAUGAAGAACGCAGCGAAAUGCGAUAAGUAAUGUGAAUUGCAGAAUUCAGUGAAUCAUCGAAUCUUUGAACGCACAUUGCGCCCGCCAGUAUUCUGGCGGGCAUGCCUGUCUGAGCGUCAUUUCAACCCUCAUGCCCCUAGGGCGUGGUGUUGGGGAUCGGCCAAAGCUCGCGAGGGACGGCCGGCCCCCAAAUCUAGUGGCGGACCCGUCGUGGCCUCCUCUGCGAAGUAGUGAUAUUCCGCAUCGGAGAGCGAUGAGCCCCUGCCGUUAAACCCCCAACUUUCCAAGGUUGACCUCAGAUCAGGUAGGAAUACCCGCUGAACUUAAGCAUAUCAAUAAGCGGGGGA